rnacentral:rRNA from 1 species
UACGAAGGUGGCAAGCGUUGUUCGGAUUUACUGGGCGUAAAGGGAGCGUAGGCGGUUGGAUAAGUCCUCCGUGAAAUCUCCAGGCUUAACCUGGAAAGUGCAGAGGGGACUGUUCAGCUAGAGGAUGGGAGAGGAGCGCGGAAUUCCCGGUGUAGCGGUGAAAUGCGUAGAGAUCGGGAGGAAGGCCGGUGGCGAAGGCGGCGCUCUGGAACAUUUCUGACGCUGAGGCUCGAAAGCGUGGGGAGCAAACAGG